rnacentral:lncRNA from 1 species
CCAUCCGCGAACACGAGCUUCACACACACACUCACGGCUUCCACAGCUUGCUCUCGCUGCACUCGCAAGCAAUACAUCUCGUCGUUCCACUAAGACCGAGGAGCAAAUGGCGGCCACCCUGAAGCUCAGGAUCCUCAUCGUGGCGGCCGCCGUCGCCGCGUCCCUGGUCGGCACGGCCUCAGCGGCCGAGGGACCGGCGCCCGCUCCGACGUCCGCCGCCGCGUCCAUGGCCGCGCCGGCCGUUGCCGCUGCGUCCUUCACCGCGCUUGUCUUCGGCUACCUCUUCUGAACGCCGUGAACAUUCAGGCGUAGACACCGUGUUUGACCGUCGGAAAUUCUGUGUGUUGUGCCCAGCCGAAUUGUUUGCCUGCUCAGAUUCUUCUUCUUCUCUCUCUCUCGCUCUCAUGUUUUGGUGUGUAUAGGUUUGUAAUUACGUGUUCAUUUUUUUAUUGUGUGACCAUGGAUCUCGUAAUUAGUACAUGAUAUAUGUAUAAACUAUAGAGAACUGCAGUUUGGUUCUUCAUUUUACACUGUUUGAGAGAUGCUAAUAAUUGGAUUAAGACUA